rnacentral:lncRNA from 1 species
CGGUACAGUGCCUGGAGCAGGGCUGUCUUCUCCUUGGAGUGCAGCCUGGUAACCGGGACCUCCCCGCCAGGUCCUGUUGUUGCUGGAGAAGGGUAGCUGACAAACUCCAACUCAGCACAGUGUUUAUGUUGGUCAAAAAUAGGAAACUAUGUUCAGGCGCGGCGGAGGUGGGAGGAUCCCUUCAGGCCAGGCAGUCAAGAGCAGCCUGGGCAACAUGGCGCGACCCCAUCUCUGAAGUCCCACCUCAGCUUCCCAGCUACUUGAACUCCAAGGUUCAUGGCUCCAAUGAGCUAUGUUCCCACUACAUCACCCCAGCCUGCGAGACUGAGGAUAGAUCUUCAGUUCUCAUGACUACAGGAGGAUACUAAGGCUCAGACAGGAGAAGAGACGUGGCCAGCCUGUGUCCCCAGAGUCUAUGAUCUUACCACUAGGUUACAGUGCUUCUGGGGAGCACAUGUUGUGAGGUUUUUGCUUUAAAAUGAACCAAUAAAAAACAAAGGCAAAAAAGGCAUAAGCUAUUAAAAAGUGGGAGAAACACUAAGAGAACCUUAAGCACAUAACUAAAAAUAUUAUGGAAAAGUUAUUGAAUUCAUUAGCAAAUUUACUCUAAUUCUAGAUUUUCAUUGAGGGAUAUAUUACUCAUGAUGAAGAAAAAAAUGUUCAUUUCAAGUAUAUUAACAUAAAUACCAUCAAUAUGGUUUAUCAUGUUUAAAUGUUCACUUAAAGCAAUUCAGUUAAAAUUCUGCAUAUCAUACAAUAUUAUAGCUUGCUAGUAGAUUGCAAAGUAAAUAGUCAUCCAAAUAAAAACACCAAAGCACAUGAUGUUUUUCACUGGUUGUUGCUAUUUUUAGGUGAGCAUUUGAUAUAUACCAACAGAUAGAUAAUAACAUAUUGCUAAUUUCUUUCAUCAUCAUAUAAAGGUGGGUUCAGGAUAGAAUGGCAUAAGGGCAAAGAAGAAUUUGAAAUCUAACAUCAACUCGGUGAUGCAUCAAGAUAAAAGUAGAGGCUGGGCGCGGUGGCUCACGCCUGUAAUCCCAGCACUUUGGGAGGCCAAGGUGGGUGUAUCAUGAGGUCAGGAGUUCGAGACCAGCCUGGCCAACAUAGUGAAACUCCGUCUCUACUAAAAACUACAAAAAAAAUUAGUGGGGCGUGGUGGUGGGCACCUGUAAUCCCAGUUACUCAGGAGGCUGAGGCAGGAGAGUGGGUUGAACCCGGGAGGCAGAAGUUGCAGUGAGCCGAGAUCGCACCAUUGCACUGCAGCCUGGGC